UAACCUGGGGAAACCCAGGCUAAUACCGCAUACGUCCUACGGGAGAAAGGGGGCUUCGGCUCCCGCUAUUGGAUGAGCCUAUGUCGGAUUAGCUAGUUGGUGAGGUAAAGGCUCACCAAGGCAACGAUCCGUAGCUGGUCUGAGAGGAUGAUCAGCCACAUCGGGACUGAGACACGGCCCGAACUCCUACGGGAGGCAGCAGUGGGGAAUAUUGGACAAUGGGCGCAAGCCUGAUCCAGCCAUGCCGCGUGUGUGAAGAAGGCCCUCGGGUUGUAAAGCACUUUCAGCGAGGAAGAACGCCUAGCGGUUAAUACCCGCUAGGAAAGACAUCACUCGCAGAAGAAGCACCGGCUAACUCCGUGCCAGCAGCCGCGGUAAUACGGAGGGUGCAAGCGUUAAUCGGAAUUACUGGGCGUAAAGCGCGCGUAGGUGGCUUGAUAAGCCGGUUGUGAAAGCCCCGGGCUCAACCUGGGAACGGCAUCCGGAACUGGCGAGCUAGAGUGCAGGAGAGGAAGGUAGAAUUCCCGGUGGGGCGGUGAAAUGCGUAGAGAUAGGGAGGAAU
rnacentral:rRNA from 1 species